UCGGGUGUGGUGCACGGCGCACGACAGCCUUCCUUCACGGCUUCUACGUUGUAUGUAAGCUGCAGACCGGGGUUCGACUCCCCGCACCCGAG